rnacentral:rRNA from 1 species
AGAGUUUGAUCCUGGCUCAGGAUGAACGCUGGCGGCGUGCCUAACACAUGCAAGUCGAACGGGAAUCUUCGGAUUCUGGUGGCGGACGGGUGAGUAACGCGUAAGAAUCUAACCUCAGGACGGGGACAACAGUUGGAAACGACUGCUAAUACCCGAUGUGCCGCAAGGUGAAACUUUUUGGCCUGGGGAAGAGCUUGCGUCUGAUUAGCUAGUUGGUGGGGUAAAGGCCUACCAAGGCGACGAUCAGUAGCUGGUCUGAGAGGAUGAGCAGCCACACUGGGACUGAGACACGGCCCAGACUCCUACGGGAGGCAGCAGUGGGGAAUUUUCCGCAAUGGGCGAAAGCCUGACGGAGCAACGCCGCGUGAGGGAGGAAGGUCUUUGGAUUGUAAACCUCUUUUCUCAAGGAAGAAGUUCUGACGGUACUGAGGAAUCAGCUCG